rnacentral:rRNA from 1 species
GACGAACGCUGGCGGCAUGCUUAACACAUGCAAGUCGAACGGAAUAUGGGUGCUUGCAUCCAUGUUUAGUGGCAAACGGGUGAGUAACACGUGGGAACUUACCCUUCAGAGCGGGACAAGCACUGGAAACGGUGUCUAAUACCGCAUACGCCCUCAGGGGGAAAGGAGAGAUCCGCUGAAGGAGAGGCCCGCGGCAGAUUAGGUAGGUGGUGGGGUAAAAGCCUACCAAGCCGAUGAUCUGUAGCUGGUUUGAGAGGAUGAUUAGCCACACUGGAACUGAGACACGGGCCAGACUCCUACGGGAGGCAGCAGUGGGGAAUAUUGGACAAUGGGGGAAACCCUGAUCCAGCAAUGCCGCGUGAGUGACGAAGGCCUUAGGGUUGUAAAACUCUUUUCUAAGUGAAGAUGAUGACGGUAACUUAGGAAUAAGCGCCGGCUAACUUCGUGCCAGCAGCCGCGGUAA